UACGUAGGGUCCGAGCGUUGUCCGGAAUUACUGGGCGUAAAGAGCUCGUAGGUGGUUUGUCGCGUUGUUCGUGAAAACUCACAGCUCAACUGUGGGCGUGCGGGCGAUACGGGCAGACUGGAGUACUGCAGGGGAGACUGGAAUUCCUGGUGUAGCGGUGAAAUGCGCAGAUAUCAGGAGGAACACCGGUGGCGAAGGCGGAUCUCUGGGCCUUACCUGACGCUGAGGCGCGAAAGCUAGGGGAGCGAACAGG
rnacentral:rRNA from 1 species